rnacentral:lncRNA from 1 species
GCUUUCUGCUGUGACAGAGCAGCACUGAGUUCAAUGCCAUGUCUCAGAAUUUCUGUGUUCUCCCUCUCCUGGGUGCACAGAUUCUCCAUGCUGUGAGGCUGAUGCCAGGGAAUGGGCAAGGGGUGGCAAUAGCCAUUUCUACCAUCUGUAAUGCCUCUUUCAGCAUUAUGAAUUCAAAACCAGGUCAGGUAGAGGAUACGCCGAAGAUCACACUCCGCUAUUUUUGUCUGUUAAUGUGCACGCCCAGGAAAUUUCUUCUCCAUGAGGUCUGCCUCUAAUUAACAGUUUUUAACGUUAACAGGUGUGGACCAUCACUGAAUGGCCUCUCCCUAGCACCGGCUGCCAAUGUAUCACUUUUAGAGAGGCAAUGCAACAAUUACUGAACCAUCACUCAAGACUUCUAGUGGGUGGCGGGGAGAGCCCUCUCCUGCCCGCUCACGCCUAACUACCUGUAACAAUUUAACCUUACUUGAUUAAAGACAUUAUCUUCAAAUACAGUC